UACGUAGGGUGCGAGCGUUAAUCGGAAUUACUGGGCGUAAAGCGUGCGUAGACGGUUAUUUAAGUCGGGUGUGAAAGCCCCGGGCUCAACCUGGGAAUUGCAUUCGAGACUGAAUAGCUAGGGUACGGUAGAGGGAAGUGGAAUUUACGGUGUAGCAGUGAAAUGCGUAGAUAUCGUAAGGGAGACCAGUGGCGAAGGCGGAUCUCUGGACAGUUACUGACACUGAGGCAGCGAAGGCCAGGGGAGCAAACGGG
rnacentral:rRNA from 1 species